UAAAUCUAUCAUGAGGUGAUAGACGCAGG
rnacentral:piRNA from 1 species